UCCGUAGGUGAACUUGCGGAAGGAUCAUUG
rnacentral:rRNA from 1 species